UACAGAGGGGGCAAGCGUUGUUCGGAAUUAUUGGGCGUAAAGGGCGCGUAGGCGGCCUUCUAAGUCGAAUGUGAAAUCCCCGGGCUCAACCCGGGAACUGCGUCCGAUACUGGAAGGCUUGAAUCCGGGAGAGGGAUGCGGAAUUCCAGGUGUAGCGGUGAAAUGCGUAGAUAUCUGGAGGAACACCGGUGGCGAAGGCGGCAACCUGGACCGGCAUUGACGCUGAGGCGCGAAAGCCAGGGGAGCAAACGGG
rnacentral:rRNA from 1 species